UUCAAAACACAUUGACCGUAAAACUGACUGCACCAGAAGUUCUGAAUAAGGGAAUUCAUUUGACUCAUGGGGAAGGUAUUAAGCAUUCCCCAAGUCCCGUAACUAGUACGGUUGCACACUUGAUCAAAUUGGAUAUUAAGAAUACUCAGAUCGAGAUAGAAACAUACAAAUAAAAAUAAAGACACAAGAGACUCGAGGUUGUCCCCACCUAAAUAAGAGAAAAUAAAAUAAGAGAAAAAUACUAAAAGUCUAUACCAAAGCUUCCACGAUGAUGUCGUCCUUUGCUUCUAUUUACAUAUAUUGCUGGGCAUUCCCCUAAAUAAAAUAAUAUUUACAAAAAAAAAAAGCUCUUCAGGGCAUUCCUCUGAGUAUAAACUAAAGAGAACAACCUCUCACCUUGAAUAAAAAUAAAAUAAAAGACCUAAGGUUUGCCUACCCAAGUAUGGUAGGCCUAAACAUGUUACUAUCGAUGAGAGAUGAAACAAGAAUAACAAAAUCUUUCUUAAACUUAUACUCUAUCUCAUUAUUGAUCAAGCCUCAGGUCCAAUUUUAAACUGACAACUGCACGACCAACUUGAUUAUUUAGGAUCCAAUUUUGCUUUAGUUCAUUAUACUGAAACCUAUAGCCCAUAAACUGAUAUCAACUAAAGAAAUUCAAUCGACAACUCAAACAAUUAUUAUCUUAUCAAUGUAAUCUAGCUAAAUCAGUGACAAAUCAUGGACAACUAAAUAAUAAUUAACAACAAAUAAUGGGAUCAAAGCAGAGUAUUUAAGAGAAGAAUGGACCUCAAGGUGCGACACCCUUUCAAUUACAGCAACGGUAGUACGAACAGGAGCCGGGAUCGGAAAAGCGAACCACGAUCGGAACCUCUGAUCGAAAUUGCUUCUGGUGAUCUCGAACUCGACUUUGGAGCUGCUGUUUUUGUGCGAAGAGGGAGCUGUUUUUUUUGUUCUUCGGCUGGGUUUGGAGCGGGUUUUGACUGGUUUUCGGAG
rnacentral:lncRNA from 1 species